AUGAAGGCUUUCGGGUCGUAAAACUCUGUUGUUAGGGAAGAACAAGUGCUAGUUGAAUAAGCGGGCACCUUGACGGUACCUAACCAGAAAGCCACGGCUAACUACGUGCCAGCAGCCGCGGUAAUACGUAGGUGGCAAGCGUUAUCCGGAAUUAUUGGGCGUAAAGCGCGCGCAGGUGGUUUCUUAAGUCUGAUGUGAAAGCCCACGGCUCAACCGUGGAGGGUCAUUGGAAACUGGGAGACUUGAGUGCAGAAAAGGAAAGUGAAAUUCCAUGUGUAGCGGUGAAAUGCGUAAAGAUAUGGAGGAACACCAGUGGCGAAGGCGACUUUCUGGUCUGUAACUGACACUGAGGCGCGAAAGCGUGGGGAGCAAACAGGAUUAGAUACCCUGGUAGUCCACGCCGUAAACAAUGAGUGCUAACUGUUAGAGGGUUUCCGCCCUUUAGUGCUGAAGUUAACGCAUUAAGCACUCCGCCUGGGGAGUACGGCCGCAAUUCUGACUCUCUCCCGGCGCUUUCGGGCUGUAGUGUCAGUUUACGUACGAGAAAAGUUCU
rnacentral:rRNA from 1 species